UACGUAGGUGGCGAGCGUUGUCCGGAUUUACUGGGCGUAAAGAGCGCGCAGGCGGCUGGUUAAGUCCUAUGUGAAAGCUCCCGGCUUAACUGGGAAAUUGCAUCGGAAGCUGAUCGGCUGGAAGGUGGGAGAGGGUAGCGGAAUUCCCGGUGUAGUGGUGAAAUGCGUAGAUAUCGGGAGGAACACCAGUGGCGAAAGCGGCUCCCUGGCCCAUUCUUGACGCUGAGGCGCGAAAGCUAGGGGAGCAAACGGG
rnacentral:rRNA from 1 species